rnacentral:lncRNA from 10 species
AACACUUCCUUCUACAUCGGGCGCCGUCGCCUCAACUGCGCGUGGGGGGCGAGGCGCCCACCCCGCACAAGAACAGAGGAGCGGGGGAGAAGAGACGGCCUCGCUGCUCACUGGGUAAGCGGAGCCCAGCCCCGCUCGGGAGCGGGCAGGAGAGACAGGGUAGUGACCCCCACUCACACCAGAAAACCCCUCCCCCCGGCGAUUUUGCUGCCAACUCGAGUCGGCUACAGACAGUCCAGUGAGUCCUUAAUUACAAGGACGAGAGAAAAGCACGGUGCCCCUCGAGUCCUCUCCGCCCCCUCGGUCCUAACCCCCGCCCAGGCUCCAGGUCUUCCCCUUUGUGUGGCCUGGACUCUCUCCCAGCUACGACUUUGGUGGGAUCCAAAAGGAAGGAGGUGGCGGGGCCUACGGAAGAGGAUACCCAGGAGCCAGGGAGAAGGGCUAGAAAACGAAUAAUGUGACUCCAGAGGCGGAACCCCGACCCCCUCUAUUUCCCACCCCGGCUUCACCCGGAGACGAAAGCUGUGGGCAUCUUCAGUUUAACGGACUUCGCGGAAAAGGAGAGAAGGGGGGCGAGGGAAAUGGCAGUUUGUGUCCCAGGGGUUCUUCCCCUUCUUCUUGCCGCCUCCUAAAGACAAACAAACUCAACCCCCCACCCUCCGGGGUAUCAGGGAACUCGUGGGACCGUGAAAAAGUCGUUCCCAAAUCCGGCCGCCUGCGGACGUCGGACUUCCGCGGGGCCGGCGCCCGUUGGCGUCUGUAGCUCGGCGCAGCCACGCGGGGCUCCAGCGAGCGGGGUCCGCCACCCCUCGCGCCCUCCUGCGGCUUUCCCAGCGCUGGGCCAGUGCAGGCCGAGCCCUGCGUCCCUGCCUCGCUGGGUGGGGGUCCGGGGCGCGGCUGUCCACAGGGCCGCCUCCUCCUGCGGCCCGCGGGGAAGGGGCGCAUCCCACCCCGCUCUGCAGGCCGCCCUUCUGCCAGCUGGGAGGCGAGGGCACACGUCCUAAGGCUGCCCAAGGGGGAGAGGAAUCGCGCCGGUAGGAGAGCGCACGGGAACCAGGAACGCAAGGCGGGCACAGGGGAGCCGAAGGAGCCAGACAGGGCCCGGCCACGCGCCCUCCUCGCUCGGCUGCGCUCCGUGACGGGAACCCAGGCUCCCACGCACGGGGAAUGCCUAGAACGGAGCUAGAAUGGAGGCCCCUUUGUGUGACUAAAUUUGGCAAGAAUAUGGAUCUGAGCCAGUCUUUCCACGUGUGCUCCCAGCUCCCAGCUGAGAAGGCCAAGGGUUCUCUUCCGGAUGCAGCCUUUUUGAAAUUUAUUCUUGGCCAAAAGAGGAAGAUAGUUCAAGGAUUCUAUCUUGCUUUUGGGGGGCAAUGGAGAAACCCUGAAAACACUUAAGGAAAACCUGAGGCCUUCUAUAAGAAAAUAAACUCCCUGAAAGGGGAGGCAGGGCCAAGGAAUUUACUUAUUUUUAUAAAUCUCUUUCCUGGGUGGAUAUGGUAAUGGAUGUGUUUCUUGAAUUGUGGUAAAUGUACCUCAUAAAAUGGAUGGACUGGGGCUAUAUUCUCAGGCUUCCUGGGCUCUGUUGGCAUUGGGCAAGCACGUAAUGCCUGGUUUGAGGCUAGAAGCCAAAGCCACAACCUUCUUGCAGUACCAACUGAGCCAUAGGGAGAUUAAUGCAGAACAAGGUCGUUAGUCUCAUUGUUUAUCCAGUUACUAGCCGCAUAGAUUUUGUGUAAAUUUCAGCUACAGUGGUUGCAGCCUGCCUUUGAUGUGUGUAAUCUGUACAUUUUAGUGCUCCAGGAAAGUACCUGAUUGACAAGAUCUACAUCCAAUGCCCAGAAAACACAUCCUACACAGGCACAGUGAAGCGUGGAGUUGAAGAAUUUUCCAGAAAACCAGUUUGGCUAUUAAGGGAACCUGUCGACACAGAGCAGAGCAAGAUAAGGCCAGGUUUCAGAAAGAAUAGCUGUUUACCAUCAAAGCAACUGGGUUCCACACAGACAUGGUAUAUUAUACACAAAGACGAAGGAUAUGGGUCCACUCUCCGUCAAGGAAUGUUAUAAAUCCACGUGGUGUCCCUGGGUGUCAGGCUUGGCCAGAACAUCUGUGGCUGGAGAAGCCAAUGUGGCUCAGGAGCUCCCUGCUGGCUGCACAUCUGAACGGCUUCAGGAGUACAAGUUUCCCCAUCAAAGCAUUUAAUUCAGAGCUCAACACAAAUUCGAUUCCCAAUGAAGACUUCUUGAGCUAUACCGAGAGAAGAAGAUCAACAGAAGAUUUCUGGCUUUUUAUUUCGUGCUACUUUUUAAAAUCGCUCCUUCCAUAUAGAAGUCUGAGGUCACAUGGGCUUUUAGCAAGGCUAGGACAGAUCCAUUAUUAUUGUAAAUGGAAAAUGUAGAAAUUAAUACAUAUGC